UUGAACGCUGGCGGCAGGCCUAACACAUGCAAGUCGAGCGGUAACACAGAGAGCUUGCUCUCGGGUGACGAGCGGCGGACGGGUGAGUAAUGUCUGGGAAACUGCCUGAUGGAGGGGGAUAACUACUGGAAACGGUAGCUAAUACCGCAUAACGUCGCAAGACCAAAGUGGGGGACCUUCGGGCCUCAUGCCAUCAGAUGUGCCCAGAUGGGAUUAGCUAGUAGGUGGGGUAACGGCUCACCUAGGCGACGAUCCCUAGCUGGUCUGAGAGGAUGACCAGCCACACUGGAACUGAGACACGGUCCAGACUCCUACGGGAGGCAGCAGUGGGGAAUAUUGCACAAUGGGCGCAAGCCUGAUGCAGCCAUGCCGCGUGUGUGAAGAAGGCCUUCGGGUUGUAAAGCACUUUCAGCGGGGAGGAAGGCGGUGAGGUUAAUAACCUCAUCGAUUGACGUUACCCGCAGAAGAAGCACCGGCUAACUCCGUGCCAGCAGCCGCGGUAAUACGGAGGGUGCAAGCGUUAAUCGGAAUUACUGGGCGUAAAGCGCACGCAGGCGGUCUGUCAAGUCGGAUGUGAAAUCCCCGGGCUCAACCUGGGAACUGCAUUCGAAACUGGCAGGCUAGAGUCUUGUAGAGGGGGGUAGAAUUCCAGGUGUAGCGGUGAAAUGCGUAGAGAUCUGGAGGAAUACCGGUGGCGAAGGCGGCCCCCUGGACAAAGACUGACGCUCAGGUGCGAAAGCGUGGGGAGCAAACAGGAUUAGAUACCCUGGUAGUCCACGCCGUAAACGAUGUCGAUUUGGAGGUUGUGCCCUUGAGGCGUGGCUUCCGGAGCUAACGCGUUAAAUCGACCGCCUGGGGAGUACGGCCGCAAGGUUAAAACUCAAAUGAAUUGACGGGGGCCCGCACAAGCGGUGGAGCAUGUGGUUUAAUUCGAUGCAACGCGAAGAACCUUACCUGGUCUUGACAUCCACAGAACUUUCCAGAGAUGGAUUGGUGCCUUCGGGAACUGUGAGACAGGUGCUGCAUGGCUGUCGUCAGCUCGUGUUGUGAAAUGUUGGGUUAAGUCCCGCAACGAGCGCAACCCUUAUCCUUUGUUGCCAGCGGUUCGGCCGGGAACUCAAAGGAGACUGCCAGUGAUAAACUGGAGGAAGGUGGGGAUGACGUCAAGUCAUCAUGGCCCUUACGACCAGGGCUACACACGUGCUACAAUGGCAUAUACAAAGAGAAGCGACCUCGCGAGAGCAAGCGGACCUCAUAAAGUGCGUCGUAGUCCGGAUUGGAGUCUGCAACUCGACUCCAUGAAGUCGGAAUCGCUAGUAAUCGUAGAUCAGAAUGCUACGGUGAAUACGUUCCCGGGCCUUGUACACACCGCCCGUCACACCAUGGGAGUGGGUUGCAAAAGAAGUAGGUAGCUUAACCUUCGGGAGGGCGCUUACCACUUUGUGAUUCAUGACUGGGGUG
rnacentral:rRNA from 1 species